rnacentral:lncRNA from 1 species
AGCCACCAUGCCCACCCAGCACACUAGAAAUUGAUCUCACAGAGGACUAGUAUAGUCUUCAUUGAAAACAUGAGAGCAAGCAGGUAAUCCCACUAACCCCAGGAACAUAUGUAUGCCUCCUGCACUCAGACGUCUGCUUGGGAGACCUCUUGAGAGGGGUGAAACCAUCCCGGUAAUGAGUGAAAACUCAGAAUUGACUGAAUAUCUCUCCAAAAGAGACUGUUUGAAACCAGAAGAGAAUGGGCUAUAUUCUAUUGGCAAGCUCAAGCAUUAUUUUCUGCUAUUUAUAGAAAUAAUACCUAAAAGACAAGACAAAGUCAGUUAUCACAGCUCCAGGCAUUGUGGCUUCAUGCAACUAUGACCAAAGCAGGAAGAAAAGGAAUGGCAGAGACUUCUCAGAAGCUCUCCAACAGACUUCUCUUUGAAUCUCAUUGGCCAGAACUGGAGCACAAACCCAUUCCUAAACCAACUUAUGGCAAAAAGAGGGUUGUCAAGAUUGUCCUAGACCAGUUGUAAUUGGUACCUUUGAUCAAGUGGGACUCAUGGAGUAUAGUUAUAAAACAAUUUCAUUUUUGUCUCCUACAGUCUAUUUUUUAUUUUAUUUAUUUAUUUAUUUAUUUAUUUAUUUUGAGACAGAGUCUCCCUCUGUCACCCAGGCUGGAAUGCAGUGGCUAAUUCUGCCUCCUCCCGAGUAGCUGGGAUUACAGGCACCUGCCACCACACCCAGCUAGUUUUUGUAUUUUUAGUAGAGACAGGAUUUCACCAUGUUGCCCAGGCUGUUCUCGAGCUCCUGACCUCAAGUGAUCUGCCCGCCUUGGCUUCCUAAAGUGCUGGGAUGACAAGCAUGAGCCACUGUGUCCGGCCCAGUCUUUUUAAACAUGCUCAAGGGAGGAAAAUACUUCUUCCCUUGUCUCUGGAGAACAACUCAGACAGGCCCUAUGACUUAUUCUGAGUCCUCUUAGGAAAUAGAAAAGCCACCAUGCCCAGUGGAGAACAUCUUAAUAGAAAGAUAGGCCGGGCGCAGUGGCUCACGCCUGUAAUCCCAGCACUUUGGGAGGCCAAGGUGGGCAAAUCACUUGAGCUCAGGAAUUCGAGACCACCCUGGCCAACAUGGUGAAACCCUGUCUCUACUAAAAAUACAAAAUUAGCCAGGCGUGACGGUGUACCUGUAAUCUCAGCUACUCGGGAAGCUGAGGCAGGAGAAUCACUUGAACCCGAGAAGCAGAGGUUGCAAUGAGCCAAGAUCAUUCCUCUGCACUCCAGCCUGGGUGACAGAGCGAGACUCCGUCUCAAAAAAAAAAAAAAAAAAAUGAAAGAGGAACUUGGUGCAUUCCGUCCUCUCUGUUCUGCUUUACUGCAG